rnacentral:lncRNA from 1 species
CAAAGAGCUUCCCAGAGGAGGUGAUAAAAUCAAGAAAGUAUGGUUAUGUACCUGAUGAAGCUUCAUUAGUUUGGAUGGGACAAGUGUGUUGAGUCAGGAGUGAUGGGACAUAAGACAAAAGGCGGAAAGAAGCCAGAAAAUGAAAGACUUGGUGGGAUUUUCCUGUCUCUUUCCUCUGGUUUUUCUCUUUUUCCUGUUUCAGUUUUCUGGAAAACAGAGAGCUGCCAAGUGGGCUAUUCUUAGCACAGCUGUGCCCAUGUUUAGAAACAGUCACUAUUGUUUCCCUUGUUCUGCACUGAACCCACAACAAAUUAAUCCUCCUAAGAAAAACUUCUGGCAUGAUAAGGGGAAGAAUCUGUGUACUGGGGGUUUGGGUAUGCUCCAAAUAGCUGAGAGUGAGCCUUUACAACUGAGGAAAGGGAGCAAUGCCUGGGUUGCUCAGUGGUUGAGCAGCUGCCUUCGGCUCAGGGUGUGAUCCUGGGAUCCAGUCCCUCAUCGGGCUCCCCACAGGGAGCCUGCUUCUCCUUCUGCCUAUGUCUCUGCCUCUCUCAGUGUGUCUCUCAUGAAUAAAUAAAUAAAAUCUUAAAAAAAACA